rnacentral:rRNA from 1 species
AUUGAACGCUGGCGGCAUGCCUAACACAUGCAAGUCGAACGAGGGUAGCAAUACCUUAGUGGCGGACGGGUGAGGAAUACAUAGGAAUUUGCCCUUAAGUGGGGGAUAGCCCGGGGAAACCCGGAUUAAUACCGCAUGAACUCGUGAGAGCAAAGUCGGGGACCUUCGGGCCUGGCGCUUUUGGAGAAGCCUAUGUCGGAUUAGCUAGUUGGUGAGGUAAUGGCUCACCAAGGCUGCGAUCCGUAACUGGUCUGAGAGGAUGAUCAGUCACACCGGAACUGAGACACGGUCCGGACUCCUACGGGAGGCAGCAGUGGGGAAUAUUGGACAAUGGGCGAAAGCCUGAUCCAGCAAUGCCGCGUGUGUGAAGAAGGCCUUCGGGUUGUAAAGCACUUUAGGCUGGAAAGAA